CCUACGGGUGGCUGCAGUGGGGAAUAUUGGACAAUGGGCGCAAGCCUGAUCCAGCCAUGCCGCGUGUGUGAAGAAGGCCUUCGGGUUGUAAAGCACUUUCAGCGAGGAGGAAGGGAGUUGUGUUAAUAGCACGGCUUUUUGACGUUACUCGCAGAAGAAGCACCGGCUAACUCUGUGCCAGCAGCCGCGGUAAUACAGAGGGUGCAAGCGUUAAUCGGAAUUACUGGGCGUAAAGCGCACGCAGGCGGUUGGUUAAGUCAGAUGUGAAAGCCCCGGGCUCAACCUGGGAAUUGCAUUUGAAACUGGCCAACUAGAGUAUGUGAGAGGGGGGUAGAAUUCCAAGUGUAGCGGUGAAAUGCGUAGAGAUUUGGAGGAAUACCAGUGGCGAAGGCGGCCCCCUGGCACAAUACUGACGCUCAGGUGCGAAAGCGUGGGGAGCAAACAGGAUUAGAUACCCAAGUAGUC
rnacentral:rRNA from 1 species